CAUGCAAGUCGUGCGCGAAAGUCUUCGGACGAGUAAAGCGGCGAAAGGGUGAGUAACACGUAACCAACGUACCCCUCAGAUCGGGAUAACCACUGGAAACGGUGGAUAAUACUGAAUGGUCCUAGGAAGGACAUCCUUCCGAAGGUAAACGGCGGCUUCGGCUGCCGUUGAGGGAGCGGGUUGCGUCCUAUCAGCUUGUUGGUGAGGUAACGGCUCACCAAGGCUAUGACGGGUAGCGGGUCUGAGAGGAUGAUCCGCCACACUGGGACUGAGACACUGCCCAGACUCCUACGGGAGGCUGCAGUCGAGAAUCUUCCACAAUGGGCGAAAGCCUGAUGGAGCGACGCUGCGUGUAGGAUGAAGGCCUUAGGGUUGUAAACUACUGUCACGCUAUAGGAACCCGUGUAGGUUAAUAGCCUGCGCGCUUACCAAAGCGAGAGGAAGUGCCGGCUAACUCCGUGCCAGCAGCCGCGGUAAGACGGAGGGCGCAAGCGUUGUUCGGAAUCACUGGGCAUAAAGGGCGCGUAGGCGGCCAGUUCAGUCGGAUGUGAAAUCCCCCGGCCCAACCGGGGAACUGCAUUCGAUACUGACUGGCUAGAGGAUGGUAGGAGCCAAUGGAACUCCAGGUGGAACGGUGAAAUGUGUAGAUAUCUGGAGGAACACCGGUGGCGAAAGCGAUUGGCUGGGCCAUUUCUGACGCUGAGGCGCGAAAGCUAGGGGAGCGAACGGGAUUAGAUACCCCGGUAGUCCUAGCCGUAAACGAUGGGUACUGGGCAAUGGACUUACCUAUGUAGUUCAUUGCUGUAGCUAAUGUGUUAAGUACCCCGCCUGGGGAGUACGCUCGCAAGGGUAAAACUCAAAGGAAUUGACGGGGGAUCACACAAGCGGUGGAGCAUGUGGUUUAAUUCGAAGCAACGCGAAGAACCUUACCUAGCCUUGACAUCUAUGGAUUAGCUCUGUGAAAGCAGAGUGACGGCCCUUCGGGGUUGGAACAUAGACAGGUGUUGCAUGGCUGUCGUCAGCUCGUGUCGUGAGAUGUCGGGUUAAGUCCCAUAACGAGCGAAACCCUUGUCGUUAGUUGCCAGCGGGUAAUGCCGGGGACUCUAGCGAGACUGCCGUUGUUAAAACGGAGGAAGGUGGGGACGACGUCAAGUCAUCAUGGCCCUUAUGGCUAGGGCUACACACGUGCUACAAUGGUCCAUACAAAGGGUUGCCAAGUCGCGAGACCAUGCUAAUCCCAUAAAGUGGACCUCAGUUCGGAUUGGAGGCUGAAAUUCGCCUCCAUGAAGCUGGAAUCGCUAGUAAUCGCGUAUCAGCAAUGACGCGGGUGAAUAUGUUCCUGAUCCUUGUACACACCGCCCGUCAAGCCAUGGAAGCGGGGAGCGCUCGAAGUCGCUCUGUCCAACCUUCGGGGGGACGGCGCCGAAAGCGAGCUCCGUGACUAGGACUAAGUCGUAACAAGGUAGCCGUAGGGGAACCUGCGGCUGGAUCACCUCCUUACU
rnacentral:rRNA from 1 species